ACAUCACCAGCUGGCCCCGCCCCCGGGUCGGGGCGGCUAGGAGCCUAGCCUGGGGCAGCCGUUUGUAUGCGGCUGCGGGAUUGGUCGCCCGGCUCCCGCGAGGGGGAGGGGAAGGCGGCAGAGCGAACUCGCGCGUGCGUAAGCUGGCGCGCGAGAAAGGGCCCGGUCGCGCCGAGGCUCGAGCGGCCGUCGCCAUUUUGUAGGGUUCUCUCUGACGCUGGAGCCGCCGCCACCGCCGCCGCCACCCGGAGGCUCUCGUCAGGAUGGUGAAGCUGUUCAUCGGAAACCUGCCCCGGGAGGCCACAGAGCAGGAGAUCCGCUCCCUCUUCGAGCAGUAUGGGAAGGUGCUGGAAUGUGACAUCAUUAAGAACUACGGCUUUGUGCACAUAGAGGACAAGACGGCGGCCGAGGAUGCCAUCCGCAACCUGCACCACUACAAGCUGCAUGGGGUGAACAUCAACGUGGAGGCCAGCAAGAACAAGAGCAAGGCCUCCACCAAGCUGCACGUGGGCAACAUCAGUCCCACGUGUACCAACCAGGAGCUUCGCGCCAAGUUUGAGGAGUAUGGCCCAGUCAUCGAGUGUGACAUCGUGAAAGAUUACGCCUUCGUACACAUGGAGCGGGCGGAGGAUGCGGUGGAGGCCAUCAGGGGCCUUGACAACACAGAAUUUCAAGGCAAAAGAAUGCACGUGCAGUUGUCCACCAGCCGGCUUCGGACUGCCCCCGGGAUGGGAGACCAGAGCGGCUGCUAUCGGUGCGGGAAGGAGGGGCACUGGUCCAAAGAGUGUCCAGUAGAUCGUACGGGCCGAGUGGCGGACUUCACCGAGCAGUAUAAUGAACAGUACGGAGCGGUGCGCACGCCUUACACCAUGGGCUACGGGGAGUCCAUGUAUUACAACGAUGCCUAUGGAGCGCUCGACUACUAUAAGCGUUACCGGGUCCGCUCGUACGAGGCAGUGGCGGCGGCGGCGGCGGCCUCUGCGUACAACUACGCAGACCAGACCAUGUCCCAUCUGCCUCAAGUCCAGAACACAGCUGUGACCAGUCACCUCAACUCCACUUCUGUUGAUCCCUACGACAGACACCUGUUGCCGAACUCAGGUGCUGCUGCCACUUCGGCUGCUAUGGCUGCCGCCGCCAACACUUCCUCCUAUUACGGAAGGGACAGGAGCCCCCUGCGUCGUGCUGCCGCUGUGCUCCCCGCAGUUGGAGAGGGCUACGGUUACGGGCCAGAGAGUGAGCUGUCUCAGGCGUCAGCAGCUGCACGGAAUUCUCUGUAUGACAUGGCCCGGUAUGAGCGGGAGCAGUAUGUGGACCGAGCGCGGUACUCAGCCUUUUAAAAACUGGAGGUGUGAACCUCAAAUGGACUGAAUAACCCUGAGUUGGUUGCAGUCCCAGGAGCCUGAUGUUAAUGAGGCUGCCAGGAUGAAAUACUCCAGAACUGUUGGGGAUCUGAAUUUGGGUCUCACCCUAGCAGAACUGAUUCAAGAACGUCACAACUUUUGGAGUCGCCAUUGGUGUCUGGAGUUCCUAUCAUCAGUGGAAGAAUCAGAAUUUUAGGAUUUCUUCCUUUGAUUUGGUAAGGGAGAUGUGAUCAGCUAGGGGAACUGUAAUUAUGGCUCUAAAUCUGUGACAGUAUGACAUGUAGGUAUGUUGGAGGGUAAAUGAACCAUUCCUUGAUACCCCUUGUGAUUGUCAUUUCUGAAAUUUAAGUUUAUUAUGAAAGAUUAAAACAAAUUUAGAGCAGUGCAUUUGGCCAUAUUUGAGAUCUUGGCAUCUUCUUCUUUUUUCUGGACCUGAAAAUUAAACUCUGGUUUUGGAUAGAA